CCUACGGGAGGCAGCAGUGAGGAAUAUUGGUCAAUGGCCGGAAGGCUGAACCAGCCAAGCCGCGUGAAGGACGAAGGUGCCAAGCAUUGUAAACUUCUUUUGUCAAGGGACAAAAUCAGGCUCGAGAGCCUGACCGAGGGUACUUGAAGAAAAAGCAUCGGCUAACUACGUGCCAGCAGCCGCGGUAAUACGUAGGUGGCAAGCGUUGUCCGGAUUUACUGGGUGUAAAGGGCGUGUAGCCGGGCUGACAAGUCAGAUGUGAAAUUCCGGGGCUCAACCCCGGACCUGCAUUUGAAACGGUUGGUCUUGAGUAUCGGAGAGGCAGGCGGAAUGCCUAGUGUAGCGGUGAAAUGCGUAGAUAUUAGGAGGAACACCAGUGGCGAAGGCGGCCUGCUGGACGACAACUGACGGUGAGGCGCGAAAGCGUGGGGAGCAAACAGGAUUAGAUACCCCAGUAGUC
rnacentral:rRNA from 1 species